rnacentral:tRNA from 1 species
AUUUACGUAGUUUAAUAAAAACAUUACAUUUUCAUUGUAAAAUUAAAAUUAUUAUUUUCAUAAAUA